AAAAGGGGCAGCCGCCAAGUCAGUGAAUGACUUGGCGGCUGCCCCUCUG
rnacentral:sRNA from 1 species